ensembl:lncRNA
AUUUAUUUUUUUGCAGAAAAAGUCAACAACUUGAUACACAUACAUGAAACUAGUAUGAAAAUAGGAUGAGGCAGACAGACAGAUGGACUGAAGUUGGUGAGUAUUGACAUCUAAGCGUGUAUUUUGCCAUCACACUGUUCUCACCCAAGCUAUAUCAUGCCAACUGGUUUUGGCAUCAGCUCACAGCACGGGCACACUUAGCCACCAGCUGGCAGUCGCGGGCCUCAAAUAAGAAUUGUUCAGACAUGGCACUCAUUCAAAAAGUUCUCACUUCCCUAAACCCCUCCGUGGUAAAUAGGGAUGGCAUGUUCCUGCAAACUGAAAGCUUUGUCUGAGAAUCUCCCCUCCAGUUUGAGAAGUAGUAUCGUCAACGAAGGAUCCGUUCACCACCACAGAAAGAGCUGGAAGCGAGAACACUCUCCUUGAGGCUUUAAAUGCCUUAAACAGAUCAUUGAUUAUUGGCGCUUUGUAUUGCACGUGAUGUAGGUGUUUUGAUGGACGUCCUUCUUCUUUCGUGAGGAAUUCAAUGAUUUUCUUUUUAACAGAACCAGGCUUGGAUCCCAGCAUUCUCUUGGUAUGAAUUUUGAAAUUCCAGCAGCUCUUCAAACAUAUUCGCUCAUCAGCAAUCUGAUUGGUUUGGAAAGAAGACCGAAGGGUGACUGGCAAGCAGAAGGCAAACCGGUGAGCAUAUAUUUGACGCAUAGCUACAAUGGCUGCCGCUAGCCCGGUAUCUUCUCAGUCACGGUGUUAGUAGGUAACACGUCCGGCAGUGGGCGCCAGCUCCCCAUUUGGUUGGCCCAGGAUUCGCUGAAAACCGUGGGAGAAGAAAGACGCCCCCUCUUUUUUAAAAGAUUUGGAGAGUGAGUGGGGAACAGAAAUCAAGGGGUGUUCCAAAAACAUGUGUCAGGUUGGCACCAGAUGAGAAUGCCUUGGCAAGCGCCUCACUUUCCCCCUCUUGCCCCUCUUAGAACACAUGGCACAUUGACGGCGGCAUCUGGCUGCAUUGACUCUCAGCAGCUGCGCUUUGUCUAUGCCAGUUGGGAUGCUUGGCACUGCCACUUCAUCAACUACCUGUGGCUUCUCCUGGGCGCGGAGCGGGCGAUGAAUUAUUUGGUGCUGCAGCUGCAAACUUGAUUUCUUUCCAAGAGAUACAGUUGUGUAAACACAUGCUAGACUCAUGGCACACAAACAAAUGCUUUGCAUACUUGGACAAUUUGUAUACAGGAGGACAAGUCUGCAUCUGGGCUUACUUUAUUCAAUGCUCGGCAUCUGGUCUCAGGAGGAAGUUCACAACAUUAUCACAUGGAAACCUUUGUAAUCUAUUAUACAAGAAACUUCAGGAAACUCUUUUUGGCAAUUCUUUGUCAACAUGACAUGAAAGAGGGAGAAGAAACCUUUUUCUUGUAUUACUUAAAAAGCUUCAAGGAAUUUGUUGACAAUAAUAUAUGAAAGAAAGACCCUUUACUGGAUUAUUCCAUAUGAGUUCCCCAAGGUUCUCUACUGGGCCCGGUUAUGUUCCAUGUCUAUUCUGUAACAUUUGUUGUAUUGAGUAUGAAAUACAGAAUUUACUGUGUCGAGUUUCCCUAAUGCUGCUCUCUAUCUGUGCCAAAAUGUGUGGUUUACACUGAACUGAUACUUAAAACAUGUACCAUGAGGUCUUCCCAAGUCUGAUUUGCUUAGUUUUUUUCCCAUGACUGUGGUUCAGCGCAUUUCAGCGCUAUAAAGCAGCUACAAGCUUUCCUCAUUUGGAAAGCAUCAUUUGGUAUCUCCAGGGGUAACUGUCAUGUUCUUUCAAUUUUGCAAAAGUUGCAAAACCUCCAGAGGAUCUAAGACAUCGCAGCCUUUUAAUAAAACAACAAACUCUGCUCCAUUUAAGAAGGACAGGGAGCGUGUACUUACAUCAGAGUGGAGCAGCUAAGGCAACAUCAAGCAGCACUUUUGACAAAAAACACGUCAGGCUUUGUUUUUAAGUGAAGUAGACAUCCGUUAUGUUCUAAACCCUGACAUCCACAGAGCCACGCGACCUAGAUUGGAUUAAAUUUUCUUUACAGGUUUUGUUUUUAGGUAUUUUUCAAUGGAGACAGAUUAUAUCUGUCAAGAUUCAAAGACAGUAGUUCUCUUUUUUGUUCAGCUUCUGGUGACCCACUGGGAGUUUGGCUCCAUCUGUGCCAGCCUGACCCAGUUUAGCCCACGGCCACGUCCAACUGUUCCAUGUCCCGAGCAUAUGUGCAGUUGCAGGGGGAUAAGUGAUCCUCACCACGCGGGACAGGGAAAAGUAUGCUGCAGACAUAACACUGGACCUGACUCUAGUCUACCCUCUUCCCAGAGCAUAUGUCAGGAACAGGGCUGGCCUUCAGGACUCAUACACUGGAGUUAUUCUCCUUUGAAAACAGUAAAACUGUGCUGGCAUGGUUUGACAUUUUGGUUCUUGGGGUGUAUAAGCAUUGAUGGUAAUUGUGUUAUUGUGGAUUACAAGUGAAUGUUAAUUUGAAAGAGAGAGAGGGAUAGAGUAACACUAACCAUACAUAACACAAUAAAUCAACAGCAAUAUGAUUUUGUUUUUAAUGGCAUUUUAUGGGGUAGUCCCUCAAUGAAAUCACAUUAAUCUAAAAUCUUGCACCUUAAAACUGUACGAUGAACAUGAAAUAUAUUCUGAUUGGCUGCAAUUGAGUCACAUUGCAUACCAGAUUUGCGUUUGGUGUGGAAAGAUAAAUUGUUAAUUGCAAUAGAAUCAUGUCUGUGUGAGAAUAAAAGGGAAACAAUG